AAGCAGAGGAACUUUGACAAGGUUCUCGCAGAGUGGAAGCAGAAGUACGAGGAGAGUCAGGCGGAGUUGGAAGGAACCCAGAGGGAGGCGCGAUCACUGAGCACCGAGCUGUUCAAAAUAAAGAACUCAUACGAAGAAGCUCUGGACCACCUGGAGACCAUGAAAAGGGAGAACAAGAACCUGCAACAGGAAAUCAGUGAUUUGA